GUUAAGAGAGAGUCGACACACGCCUCGCUUUCCUUCAAUCAAAAUUUGGUCAGGCGACGACAGGUACCUCCAGUCUUACCUCUCCGCCAUGAACGCUGCUGUUUUCUUGCUGCUGUGCGCACUGGCUGCUGGGAGCCUGGCCUAUGACUCCUACAACACCAAGAUCAUCAUCCCUCCCUACUAUCAAAAGAAUGUUGCCGGAUAUGGACUGGUGGGCUUGGGUUAUGGCAGAACUGCACUCGGAAGUGUUUACGGUGGGUACGGUUUAUCAAACUAUGGAAGCGCAGGUCUGUACGGAGGGGGUGCCUAUGGAGGGGGUGCUUAUGGCGGCUAUUCUUACUCAAAAGGCUUCUACUAGAUGAUGGCCAUCCGACUUUUGAUUCAAGUCUCUAAAACUUCACGAUCCAAGAAUACCGAAAAAUAAUAUUUCUACCCGACAGGAAAGGAACCACAAAGAGACAAAUUACACUGACACGUGACUUUGAGCGUGAAGUAAGAAUAAGACCUCCUAACAUCACAUGUUGACACCUGUAUAUUGACCACGAGCAGGCGGUCCUACUUUAGAUGAAAAUAAAGAAGACUUUCUGA